CAGCCGCCGCGGUAAUACGUAGGGGGCGAGCGUUGUCCGAAGUUACUGGGCGUAAAGCGCGCGUAGGCGGCUUCUUAAGUCUGAGGUGAAAGGUUCAACGCUUAACGUGAACAGUGCCUUGGAUACUGGGGAGCUUGAGUAUGGGAGAGGGCAGUGGAAUGGCUGGUGUAGCGGUGAAAUGCGUAGAUAUCAGUCGGAACACCCAUGGCGAAGGCAGCUGCCUGGCCUAAUACUGACGCUGAGGUGCGAAAGCGUGGGGAGCGAACGGGAUUAGAUACCCCUGUAGUCCCUGUCUCUUAUA
rnacentral:rRNA from 1 species